GACGUAGGGCGCGAGCGUUGUCCGGAUUUAUUGGGCGUAAAGAGCUCGUAGGCGGCUUGUCGCGUCGAAUGUGAAAACUCGGGGCUCAACACCUGGCUUGCUUUCGAUACGGGCAGACUAGAGGCAUGCAGGGGAGAACGGAAUUCCUGGUGUAGCGGUGGAAUGCGCAGAUAUCAGGAGGAACACCGGUGGCGAAGGCGGGUCUCUGGGCAGUAACUGACGCUGGAGGAGCGAAAGCUAGGGGAGCGAACAGG
rnacentral:rRNA from 1 species